rnacentral:SRP_RNA from 1 species
UCUCCGCCACUUAAAAAAAGUUUGCCGCGGUCAGCGGCUUUUUGUUUUUCUGUAGGACCGCAGGCGGCGGGUCCUGCGCAAUAGGAGUCUGUGAACCGUGUCAGGUCCGGAAGGAAGCAGCACUAAGCGGAUACUCUUAUGUGCCGCAGGGGUGCCUGCGUCUGUGGCCCUACAGGGAAACAACUGAGA